rnacentral:lncRNA from 1 species
GGAUAGUUUUCAUAUACAUUUCUCCUCCUGCAUUUGCUUAAACUGCCAGUCUUAGAGCCUUAAAUAAGAUGCACUCAGCUGAAAAUUGUCCUUCACUGAGGAGACACGCUGUUCCUACUGAGGGAGAUAAUCCAGCAUUGUAUAUUUUUGUGCACAGAGGAAAGCAAGAUACUCAUCAGAGACUCAGCUAUUCCUCCAUUCCGAAGCAUCCCAGAGGAAUUUCUGAAGGCAGGAGGGAAUCCUGAGAGACAGAUAAGCAGAACAGAAGAAGACUUCUGUGGACAGAUUCAGGAAGGUUCUGCAGGAAGAAGGCAGAGGCGCUUCUGUGCUCUGUCCACCCGAUAUGUAUAGGCCAGAUGUGAUCGCAAUAUUUUCUUUCCAUCCUGAUGCCAACCUAAGGAGGAUCCUUCCAGCUAUCCUGCAAGAGACUCCCCUAUGCUGCAUUGAGAAUAAUACUCAGGUUAGAGAUGCUUCGAGAUCCUCCCUGCAAAAUCUUUGCCUUGGCACUUGGCUCCCAGGGAGUCUCAUUUAUGUGUCCCACCAUAAAUCAUGGCUAGCUUAGAGACUAGAAGUGGGAACUGACCACAUCUCUACCUGCUUUCCUGGAAGAAGAUGAAACAGAGUUAUCAGCCGUGGGAGUCAAAGAGAACUAACUAAA